CGCGGCCUAUCAGCUUGUUGGUGAGGUAGUGGCUCACCAAGGCGACGACGGGUAGCCGGCCUGAGAGGGCGACCGGCCACACUGGGACUGAGACACGGCCCAGACUCCUACGGGAGGCAGCAGUGGGGAAUAUUGCACAAUGGGCGAAAGCCUGAUGCAGCGACGCCGCGUGAGGGAUGACGGCCUUCGGGUUGUAAACCUCUUUCAGCUCCGAAGAAGCGCAAGUGACGGUAGGAGCAGAAGAAGCACCGGCUAACUACGUGCCAGCAGCCGCGGUAAUACGUAGGGUGCGAGCGUUGUCCGGAAUUAUUGGGCGUAAAGAGCUCGUAGGUGGUUCGUCGCGUCUGCUGUGAAAGUCCGAGGCUCAACCUCGGAUCUGCAGUGGGUACGGGCGGACUGGAGUGCGGUAGAGGAGAUCGGAAUUCCUGGUGUAGCGGUGGAAUGCGCAGAUAUCAGGAGGAACACCGGUGGCGAAGGCGGAUCUCUGGGCCGUAACUGACGCUGAGGAGCGAAAGCAUGGGGAGCGAACAGGCUUAGAUACCCUGGUAGUCCAUGCCGUAAACGUUGGGCGCUAGGUGUGGGGUCCUAUCCACGGGUUCCGUGCCGUAGCUAACGCAUUAAGCGCCCCGCCUGGGGAGUACGG
rnacentral:rRNA from 1 species